rnacentral:rRNA from 1 species
UACGAGGGGGGGCAAGCGUUGUUCGGAAUUAUUGGGCGUAAAGGGUGCGUAGGCGGUCUGACAAGUCUGAUGUGAAAUCUAUGGGCUCAACCCAUAGUCUGCAUCGGAAACUGUCGGGCUUGAGUAUGGGAGAGGUGAGUGGAAUUCCUGGUGUAGCGGUGGAAUGCGCAGAUAUCAGGAGGAACACCGAUGGCGAAGGCAGGUCUCUGGGCCAUUACUGACACUGAGAAGCGAAAGCAUGGGGAGCGAACAGG